ACCCGCUGAACUUAAGCAUAUCAAUAAGCGGAGGAAAAGAAACUAACAAGGAUUCCCCUAGUAACUGCGAGUGAAGCGGGAAAAGCUCAAAUUUAAAAUCUGGUGGUCUUUGGCCAUCCGAGUUGUAAUCUGGAGAAGUGCUUUCCGCUCUGGACCGUGUACAAGUCUCUUGGAAUAGAGCGUCAUAGAGGGUGAGAAUCCCGUCUCUGACACGGACUACCAGUGCUUUGUGAUGUGCUUUCAAAGAGUCGAGUUGUUUGGGAAUGCAGCUCAAAAUGGGUGGUAAAUUCCAUCUAAAGCUAAAUAUUGGCGAGAGACCGAUAGCGAACAAGUACCGUGAGGGAAAGAUGAAAAGCACUUUGGAAAGAGAGUUAAACAGUACGUGAAAUUGCUGAAAGGGAAACACUUGAAGUCAGUCGCGUUGUUCAGAACUCAGCCUGGCUUUGGCUUGGUGCAUUUUCUGAAUGACGGGCCAGCAUCAAUUUUGACUGUUGGAUAAAGGCCAGAGAAAUGUGGCUCCUUUGGGAGUGUUAUAGUCUUUGGUUGCAUACAAUGGUUGGGAUUGAGGAACUCAGCAUGCCUUUAUGGUCGGGGUUCGCCCACGUUCAUGCUUAGGAUGCUGGCGUAAUGGCUUUAAAUGACCCGUCUUGAAACACGGACCAAGGAGUCUAACAUGCCUGCGAGUGUUUGGGUGGAAAACCCGAGCGCGCAAUGAAAGUGAAAGUUGGGAUCUCUGUCGUGGGGAGCACCGACGCCCGGACCAGACCUUCUGUGACGGAUCCGCGGUAGAGCAUGUAUGUUGGGACCCGAAAGAUGGUGAACUAUGCCUGAAUAGGGUGAAGCCAGAGGAAACUCUGGUGGAGGCUCGUAGCGAUUCUGACGUGCAAAUCGAUCGUCAAAUUUGGGUAUAGGGGCGAAAGACUAAAUCGAACAUCUUUGCCC
rnacentral:rRNA from 1 species